rnacentral:lncRNA from 1 species
AUCUUAAACUUAUGGCUAAAGAUCUCGAUCAUCUUUUAACAUUGAUGCAAAUAGAUCCGAGUUGAUAGAGCUUCGUCUCAAUCCAUUCCAAAUAGGGUGAUAAAUAGAAAUAACGAAAAAAUGUCAUAAAGCUGUCAUAAUUCACUAAAAAAAAUUAAGCCAGAGACAAAAAAUUAUUUUUUUUUAAUCUGUUUCGAUAUGCCAAAAUUCGCUUUUUUCAUCUCGAAUGAAACGAUAAGUACAGACACAAAUUAGCAUAAAAG